GGGGAUGUAGCUCAGUGGUAAAGUGCUUGCCUGACAUGCACAAGAUGGCUGGGUUCAAUUCCCAGCCCUG
rnacentral:tRNA from 1 species